GAGUUUUUUGAGCUUAGAGCAGAGUUUCUCAAGAGCUGCAAUACUGGCAUUUGAGUCAAGUCGUUCUUUAUUGUUGGUGGUGGAGGGGGCACCCUGUAUAUUGUAGGACGUUGGGCAGCAUCUCUGACUUCUACCUACUAGAUGCCAGUAUCUCAGUUUUCUUAAAAGACUUUUUUUUUUUUUUUUUUUUUUUUGAGAUGGAGUCUUGCUGUGUUGCCUAGGCUGGAGUGCAGUGGCACCAUGUCGACUCACUGCAACCUCCGCCUCCCCGGUUCAAGCGAUUCUCCUGCCUCAGCCUCCUGAGUAGCUGGGAUUACAGGUGAGCACCACCAUGCCCAGCUAAUCGUAAAAGACUUUUCAUAAAACUUCAGAACUCCUUAAAAACUAGUGAAUAGCCAAGGUGAAGAAAGCCCUCAGGCUUCUGACUUUAGACCCCAAUCCCUGGGACUCCCACACUCAGCAAAGAAAGCUGGGUGCCUGCACCCUGGAUCUCUGAGCAAACCUGUCUUAUGGCUGUGGGCAACUCAGGAACAUGAAUUAGCACGAGAAUCUGGAGUUUUUCUUUCCUUUUCUGGUAAGACACUUGUGGUUUUUUUUUUUCAAAUUCCAAUUGGAAAUUUGCUUUACAUGAACAACAAACAAACUUGAUACUCUUUUAGUGGAGGCAUUAUUUGUUCCUUUAUUUUUUGCACUUAAACAGACAGGCAGUAUGCUUUCUCUGUGUGGAGACCAAGGUCUGUUAAAGGGCUGCUUUUCACGGAAGCUUCACUAAUUUAUACUCAUGGCUGACAUACUCACCUUGUGGGGCUGACACACCGAACCUAACUGAAUAUUGUCCCAUUAACAAAACUAAUGUAUUACGUGUAAGGCACCAGUAAUUAACCUUUAAACUUCGGUUUUGAACAACUCUCAUUUUUAACCUUUAUUUAAGUGUCAUAGUUGUCUUACCUCCUCUUGGCAUUUUUUUUUUAAAGCUCUUCCUAGAUUAAUUGCAUGUUGUAACUCCCUUUUUCCAUUCAAGACAGUUUUGUUUUACGUGCGCUUAUUAUGGUACUUUUAUAAUUGCUUUUUGGUUCUCUGGGCCAUUCUUUUGACAUGCCUCCUUUCUUGGAUCUGUACUAUGAUAGGUGGCUGGGCAUGGUGGCUCAUGCCUGUAAUCCCAGCACUUUGGGAGGCUGAGGCAGGCAGAUCACUUGAGACCAGGAGUUCAAGACCAGCCUCGCCAGUGUGGCGAAACCCCAUCUCUACUAAAAAUACAAAAAUUAGCUGGGCUAGGUGGCGUGCACCUGUAAUCCCAACUAUUCAGGAGGCUGAGCCAGGAGAAUCGCUUGACCUGGGGAGGCAGAGGUUGCAGUGAGCCGAGAUCUAUCCCCUGCACUCCAUCCUGGGCAACAGAUUGUGACUCUGUCUCAAAAAACAGUAAUAAUAAAAUACACUAUGGAAGGUGUUGGUCUGUCCAUGUGACCACAUGCAAUGAGGUGCUUUGUGCGUUUGCCUUGUGUGAGCAGCGAUGGAAUGAUCCUAGCGGGGCCUUGGAGGAACUGGAAUGUUCUUUGCCUAGUUGCACCUGCGUCAGCUCUGUAGGCCCAGCCCUGGGGCCCAGCAGCUGCUCCCCUGGUUUGCUUUCCUCCCAGGUUGCCUCAUGCUGCUGCUGAGCAACCUUCACCUGAUGGGCGGUGCCACAGCAGGAGAGUUUCAUACGCAGACCUUAAGUAGACAUAGUAUCCAGCUAAAAGGGUCUCACUCUGUCACCCAGGCUGGAGUGCAGUGGCGCAGUCAUGGCUCCCUGUAACCUCAACCUCUCAGACUCCAGCAAUCCUCCUGCGACAGCGAAGUUAAUCUUCUGGUUCGGUUCACAAAGUGCAGGAGAGCCUACCAGCUUGAGAGAAAAGGAGUCAUGCUGUAUUUGUUUCCUUGAGUGAAUGGCCACUCAGCUGCUGUGUUUCUCCCUGCAUGUGGCUGAAGUUUACAUUGGAGGGUGACUUCCUGAUUGCCAGUUAGCAUAUGUGUCCGGCUACCAGCCGCCUGACUGGCUGAGGAUGCUCUUUGUUUGUUCAAGGAUGAACGUUCUCCCCCUGCCUUGCAGGAAGAGGGGAGCAAGGUGCGCCCGGGAGACGCGUGACAGUGCCCUGUAAAGCCAGUAGAGGAAAUCUUGUGGAGUGUGAAUGCACAGGCUUAGAUUCCCCUGUCCCUGAGUCGGGGGCAUGUGCUCGUGGAGAAUGACCCUAUCAAGUUCAAGGUGUGGCAUCUCCUGAUCCAGCAACAGGAUUUGUUCCAGAGAAAAAUCCCCAGGUCUUGGGACUGUUGACAGAUGGCCAUGACUAUGCUUAAUGUGGUCAUCAACUGAGAAUGGUCCGUCUCAUCUUUGAGUAUGCAAUUACCUUUAUAGCUGAUUAUGACACCCUCAGAUCAUAUCAUGAGGUGGACAAGAUGAGUCCAUGGCCCAUGCUGAGAACUGGUACUUCUGUCUUCAUAGACUCACUCACCAACCAGAGAUGUACGACGGACCCCAAAUGGUCUGUCAAAAAUGUGAACUUGCACUAAGACAAGACCCAACAUCAGUGACAUUGGACACAAGAUAGAAAUCAGAGAACAGUUACUGUCCAGCAGUUUUAACCACCAAUACCCAUUUAUUUUAAUGGAAAAAAAAA
rnacentral:lncRNA from 1 species